CAAUAGCGUAUAUUUAAGUUGUUGCAGUUAAAAAGCUCGUAGUUGGAUUUCGGGUGGGACGCAGCGGUCUCGCAUUGCGUUUGCACUGCUGCAGCCCUCCUUCUUGCCGGGGGCGGCCUCUCGGACUUCACUGUCUGGGGGUCAGAAUCGGCGAUGUUACUUUGAGUAAAUUAGAGUGUUCAAAGCAAGCUUACGCUCUGAAUAUAAUAGCAUGGGAUAACACGACAGGACUCUGGCCUAUCGUGUUGGUCUAUAGGACCAGAGUAAUGAUUAAGAGGGACAGUCGGGGGCAUUCGUAUUCCGUUGUCAGAGGUGAAAUUCUUGGAUUUACGGAAGACGAACAUCUGCGAAAGCAUUUGCCAAGGAUGUUUUCAUUGA
rnacentral:rRNA from 1 species